GCAUAUCAAUAAGCGGAGGAAAAGAAACUAACAAGGAUUCCCCUAGUAACGGCGAGUGAAGCGGGAAGAGCACAAAUUUUAAAUCUACCUGGUUUUCUAGGUCGAGUUGUAAUUUGAAGAAACGUUUUUUACGUUCCGGGUUGGAUUAAAUCCUUUGGGAUAAGGUAUCAUGGAGGGUGAGAAUCCCGUGUAUACCAACCACUGGAAUGUUAUUAAUACGAUUUCUAAGAGUCGAGUUGUUUGGGAAUGCAGCUCUAAAUGGGUGGUAAAUUUCACCUAAUGCUAAAUAUAAGCGAGAGACCGAUAGUGAACAAGUACCGUGAGGGAAAGAUGAAAAGAACUUUGAAAAGAGAGUUAAAUAGUACGUGAAAUUGUUGAAAGGGAAACGGUUGAAGUCAGUCAUGCCGGCGGGAAUCAACUUAGGGGAAACUCUAGGUGCACUUCUUCGCUUGGCAGGUUAGCGUCGAUUUUGGAUGUCAUAAAAUGACUGGGGGAAGGUAGCUCCUUCGGGAGUGUUAAGCCCUUAGUAGAUGUGAUGUUCGGGAUCGAGGAUUGCAACGGAUACCCUUUGGGCUAGUCACCUGGUCUCUAAUACGAAGUUGGGUUAUGGAUAGCAUGCUAAUCAUGAUCUGAUUUUCGGUUAAAAGAUUAGAGUGAGUGUAAAUUCGUUAAGGACGCUGACGUAAUGGCUUUAAACGAC
rnacentral:rRNA from 1 species